rnacentral:rRNA from 1 species
UAAAGGGCCGCGGUAUUUUGACCGUGCAAAGGUAGCAUAAUCAUUAGUCUUCUAAUUAAAGGCUGGAAUGAAUGGCUGGACGAGGUACUAGCUGUCUCACUAAAAUGCACUAAAAUUUAGCUUUUCAGUUAAAAGGCUGAAAUAAGGUUGGAGGACGAGAAGACCCUAUAGAGCUUUACAUUUAAUUGAUUUAGUUGGCUUGGUUAUUUUUAAAUUUUAUCGAAAAAAUGUUUCGUUGGGGUGACGGGAAGAUAAAUAAAACUCUUUUUAAUAUUUUACACUAAUGAGUGAUUGACUGAUCCAUUAUUUAUGAUUAUAAGACUAAGUUACCUUAGGGAUAACAGCGUAAUCUUUUUUGAGAGUUCUAAUCGACAAAAAGGGUUGCGACCUCGAUGUUGGACUAAGGGUUAUUUUUGGGUGUAGCAGCUUGAAGUUUAGGUCUGUUCGACCUUUGAACCCUUACAU